rnacentral:rRNA from 1 species
UAGGGAAUCUUCCACAAUGGACGAAAGUCUGAUGGAGCAACGCCGCGUGAGUGAAGAAGGUUUUCGGAUCGUAAAGCUCUGUUGUUGGUGAAGAAGGAUAGAGGCAGUAACUGGUCUUUAUUUGACGGUAAUCAACCAGAAAGUCACGGCUAACUACGUGCCAGCAGCCGCGGUAAUACGUAGGUGGCAAGCGUUGUCCGGAUUUAUUGGGCGUAAAGCGAGCGCAGGCGGAAUGAUAAGUCUGAUGUGAAAGCCCACGGCUCAACCGUGGAACUGCAUCGGAAACUGUCAUUCUUGAGUGCAGAAGAGGAGAGUGGAACUCCAUGUGUAGCGGUGGAAUGCGUAGAUAUAUGGAAGAACACCAGUGGCAAAGGCGGCUCUCUGGUCUGCAACUGACGCUGAGGCUCGAAAGCAUGGGUAGCGAACAGGAUUAGAUACCCUGGUAGUCCAUGCCGUAAACGAUGAGCGCUAGGUGUUGGGGACUUUCCGGUCCUCAGUGCCGCAGCAAACGCAUUAAGCGCUCCGCCUGGGGAGUACGACCGCAAGGUUGAA